rnacentral:tRNA from 1 species
CAAGGGAUAGCUCAGUUGGUAGAGCAUGAGAUUCUUAAUCUCGGGGUCAUGGGUUUGAGCCCCAUGUUGGGAAAGA